GUAGAUGUAACAUGGUAUAGAAAGGCCUGUUGCCCAUAGAGGUAGAAGUUAGCAGGUAGAUGUAACAUGGUAUAGAAAGGCCUGUUGCCCAUAGAGGUAGAAGAUAGCAGGUAGUUGUAACAUGGUAAAGACAGGCCUGUUUCCCAUUGAGGUAGAAAGAGGGCUCAUCUGUGCCAUGAUGGUUUCAGUGACUUUGAAAUAGUGGAAGCCUUCAUUGGCAAUGUCCAUGCUAAAAUGGUUUCUAUCCAUCCAGAGCCCUCUUUCUACCUCUAUGGAUGUUAUCUAACCACUGGGCUAUUUAUGGACCCAGUCUUACCUGUAUCAGGAGUCCAUCACCACAGGUGUUUUACUUAUUGGGUAAAUUGUUUGGGACAGGUAAGAUAUUAUUACAAAGAUUUGGUUUGUGUCAUUAUUGGGCUUGUGAGUUAAUAGCUAUAAUGCUAACAGGUGUGUGUGUGUGUGUGUGUGUGUGUGUGUGUGUGUGUGUGUGUG
rnacentral:lncRNA from 1 species